rnacentral:rRNA from 1 species
AGCAGCCGCGGUAAUUCCAGCUCCAAUAGCGUAUAUUAAAGUUGUUGCAGUUAAAAAGCUCGUAGUUGAAUUUCGGGAUCAUCAGGUUGGUCGUGCCUCUGGUAUGUACUGAUUUCGAUGGUUCCUCCUUCUUGAAGAACCGUAAUGCCAUUAAUUUGGUGUUGCGGGGAAACAGGACUGUUACUUUGAAAAAAUUAGAGUGUUUAAAGCAGGCAAUCGCUUGAAUACAUUAGCAUGGAAUAAUGAAAUAGGACGUUCGAUCCUAUUUUGUUGGUUUCUAGGAUUGACGUAAUGAUUAAUAGGGAUAGUUGGGGGCAUUAGUAUUCAAUUGUCAGAGGUGAAAUUCUUGGAGUUAU